rnacentral:rRNA from 1 species
UACAGAGGUCUCAAGCGUUGUUCGGAUUCAUUGGGCGUAAAGGGUGUGUAGGUGGCGCGCUAAGUCGGGUGUGAAAUUUCGGAGCUUAACUCCGAAACUGCAUUCGAUACUGGCGUGCUUGAGGACUGGAGAGGAGACUGGAAUUCAUGGUGUAGCAGUGAAAUGCGUAGAGAUCAUGAGGAAGACCAGUGGCGAAGGCGGGUCUCUGGACAGUUCCUGACAUGAGGCACGAAGGUCAGGGGAGCAAAACGGG